GGAUAAGUGACUGAGUGGUUUAAAGUGCCAAUUUUGAAAAUUGUUAUGAAUUAAUUUUAUCGUAGGUUCGAAUCCUACCUUAUCUG
rnacentral:tRNA from 1 species